rnacentral:rRNA from 2 species
UGGCUCAGAUUGAACGCUGGCGGCAGGCCUAACACAUGCAAGUCGAACGGUAACAGGAAGCAGCUUGCUGCUUCGCUGACGAGUGGCGGACGGGUGAGUAAUGUCUGGGAAACUGCCUGAUGGAGGGGGAUAACUACUGGAAACGGUGGCUAAUACCGCAUAACGUCGCAAGACCAAAGAGGGGGACCUUCGGGCCUCUUGCCAUCAGAUGUGCCCAGAUGGGAUUAGCUUGUUGGUGAGGUAACGGCUCACCAAGGCGACGAUCCCUAGCUGGUCUGAGAGGAUGACCAGCCACACUGGAACUGAGACACGGUCCAGACUCCUACGGGAGGCAGCAGUGGGGAAUAUUGCACAAUGGGCGCAAGCCUGAUGCAGCCAUGCCGCGUGUAUGAAGAAGGCCUUCGGGUUGUAAAGUACUUUCAGCGGGGAGG